rnacentral:rRNA from 1 species
ACGGAAGGCAGCAGUGAGGAAUAUUGGUCAAUGGACGAGAGUCUGAACCAGCCAAGUAGCGUGCAGGAUGACGGCCCUAUGGGUUGUAAACUGCUUUUGUACGGGAAUAAAGUGACCUACGUGUAGGUUUUUGCAUGUACCGUAAGAAUAAGGACCGGCUAAUUCCGUGCCAGCAGCCGCGGUAAUACGGAAGGUCCGGGCGUUAUCCGGAUUUAUUGGGUUUAAAGGGAGCGUAGGCCGUGCUUUAAGCGUGUUGUGAAAUGUAGGCGCCCAACGUCUGCACUGCAGCGCGAACUGGAGCACUUGAGUACGCAGGAAGUAGGCGGAAUUCGUCGUGUAGCGGUGAAAUGCUUAGAUAUGACGAAGAACUCCGAUUGCGUAGGCAGCUUACCAGGCCGGCAAUGACGCUCAUGCACGAAAGUGCGGGGAUCGAACAGGAUUAGAUACCCUGGUA